GCCAUAGAGCAGCACCUGUGAGAGAGAUCAAGGAGGUUCUUCUGGGAGUGAGUAGCUACAAGAGCACUCGGGAAAGAUGAGUUUGUAUGGAGGCAUAAGAACGAGAGACACUGCGAGGAUUUCCAGGAAAAUCUCCGAAGCACACAGACAGCACCAGACAGAGCACAUCCAAAGAUGCUGGGGAAACAAACAAACCAAAAGAGUCUUCAGUUUUUCUCUAACACAUAAUGAUUUUUUUAAUAUAAUUUACUUUUGAAUAAGUGAUGAUUUAUAGAAAAAUUAAAAAGCUAUUAUGUUUUCUAUA